GACGGACGCUGGCGGCGUGCUUAACACAUGCAAGUCGAACGGUAAGGCCCUUCGGGGUACACGAGUGGCGAACGGGUGAGUAACACGUGGGUGAUCUGCCCUGCACUUCGGGAUAAGCCUGGGAAACUGGGUCUAAUACCGGAUAGGACUCCGGACUGCAUGGUCUGGGGUGGAAAGCUUUUGCGGUGUGGGAUGGGCCCGCGGCCUAUCAGCUGGUUGGUGGGGUGAUGGCCUACCAAGGCGACGACGGGUAGCCGGCCUGAGAGGGUGACCGGCCACACUGGGACUGAGAUACGGCCCAGACUCCUACGGGAGGCAGCAGUGGGGAAUAUUGCAUAAUGGGCGCAAGCCUGAUGCAGCGACGCCGCGUGAGGGAUGACGGCCUUCGGGUUGUAAACCUCUUUCAGCAUCGACGAAGCGAAAGUGACGGUAGGUGCAGAAGAAGGACCGGCCAACUACGUGCCAGCAGCCGCGGUAA
rnacentral:rRNA from 1 species